UACGAAGGGGGCUAGCGUUGCUCGGAAUCACUGGGCGUAAAGCGCACGUAGGCGGAUUGCUAAGUCAGGGGUGAAAAUCCUGGAGCUCAACUCCAGAACUGCCUUUGAUACUGAGGAUCUCGAGUCCGGGAGAGGUGAGUGGAACUCCGAGUGUAGAGGUGAAAUUCGUAGAUAUUCGGAAGAACACCAGUGGCGAAGGCGGCUCACUGGCCCGGUACUGACGCUGAGGUGCGAAAGCGUGG
rnacentral:rRNA from 1 species